AUUGAACGCUGGCGGAAUGCUUUACACAUGCAAGUCGAACGGCAGCACGGGGGCAGCCCUGGUGGCGAGUGGCGAACGGGUGAGUAAUACAUCGGAACGUGCCCGGUCGUGGGGGAUAACGUAGCGAAAGUUACGCUAAUACCGCAUACGAUCUGAGGAUGAAAGCGGGGGACCUUCGGGCCUCGCGCGAUCGGAGCGGCCGAUGUCAGGUUAGGUAGUUGGUGGGGUAAAGGCCUACCAAGCCGACGAUCUGUAGCUGGUCUGAGAGGACGACCAGCCACACUGGGACUGAGACACGGCCCAGACUCCUACGGGAGGCAGCAGUGGGGAAUUUUGGACAAUGGGCGCAAGCCUGAUCCAGCCAUUCCGCGUGCAGGACGAAGGCCUUCGGGUUGUAAACUGCUUUUGUACGGAACGAAAAGGCUCUGGCUAAUACCUGGGGCUCAUGACGGUACCGUAAGAAUAAGCACCGGCUAACUACGUG
rnacentral:rRNA from 1 species